UUAGUCCCCACAGAAGAAAAAGAAAAGUGCUUCAAAUAGCACAUUAGAAUCUUUCACUGUUUAAUAUGAAAAAUAAUUAUCUAUGAUAUAGUUGAGAGUCUCACUCAUCACUUUUUCAGAGGAAGAUAGAGGAAGUUCAAAAUAAAGAUAUCAAUAGCUCACAUGUAUCAAUAGCACCCUCUCCCAGUCUCGAAAACAGUUCAACUUUGAAUCCGCAAUCAUAAAGCAUAUGGUGAAUAUUUAUCUGCUACAGAAAAUGAAAAAUACUCCUCCCUAUCCAGUAACUGAGCCAUACAAACAUGUAUGGUCUAUUCAAUUGGAUUAACAGAUUCAUCUUCUUUCUUACAAACUGUUUACAAACAAAUGCAUAAAAUUAUAUGUUAGCCUUAUAUAUAAAUAGCUAUAUUGCAAUUGCUAGCUCAGGAUAAUCAUUAAUGAUUAAACAAAUGUAGUAGAAAACAAAAAUCAAUUUUAGAGUUCCAAUAAGAAUAUAAAAAUAAUUUUAAUAAGGAACAUUGCUAAAAUAAAUUUAACUUCUUUGACAAAGGAUCUUUGUACAUUGAUCAGUGGGGUCCAUAUAUCUCUGUUUCACACAAACAAUCCUUUGAACNNNNNNNNNNNNAUUUGUCAAUGUAAAAAUGUAUACUAUUUAUAACUUAAGUACUAUAAUAUAGCUGUCUGUCAUUGUGAUGAGUUAUUAAUAGCAAGGGCAAAAGUUGUACUCACUGGGAAAUGCAAAGUUUUUUAAAUGGAGGGGUAGUAGGGGGGAUUUGUGGAUAUCUAAGGAGCACCUAUUAAAAGGCACAAUUGUAAAUUGCAUUACUAUUUUUCACAUAUCUGAAUCUGGACAUUUCUUUGCUGACAAAUGUUUUAAGAACCCUCCUAGAGACUCACUAGUUGACUUCAACAUGUACUUUCCAAGAUAAAAUAUGCAUUUAUUUUAUUUAUCUGAUUUAUUUACCUGACAUAUUUUCAACAUCAGAUUCAUUAUUAUGAUGAAUUUAGGGUUCAUGUUGAAAUCACAGUUUGCCCAUAGAGUCUUGAUAUGUGACAUAC
rnacentral:lncRNA from 1 species